rnacentral:rRNA from 1 species
CAGUCGCCGCGGUAAUACGAAGGGGGCUAGCGUUGCUCGGAAUGACUGGGCGUAAAGGGCGCGUAGGCGGUUUGCACAGUAGGGUGUGAAAUUCCUGGGCUUAACCUGGGGACUGCAUUCGAGACGUGUAGGCUUGAGUGGGGAAGAGGGUCGUGGAAUUCCUAGUGUAGAGGUGAAAUUCGUAGAUAUUGGGAAGAACACCGGUGGCGAAGGCGGCGACCUGGUCCUUUACUGACGCUGAGGCGCGAAAGCGUGGGGAGCAAACAGGAUUAGAUACCCCCGUAGUCCCUGUCUCUUAUAC